rnacentral:tRNA from 1 species
AUCGAUGCCGGGCCGGAUGCGCAGGCCAAAGCGUUUCAGGCGCGUUUCGAUAAUCUGCGGACGACCGAUCAGGAUCGGUUCACCAAUUCC